rnacentral:rRNA from 1 species
GAUGAACGCUGGCGGCGUGCCUAAUACAUGCAAGUCGAGCGAACGGACGAUAAGCUUGCUUCUCUGAUGUUAGCGGCGGACGGGUGAGUAACACGUGGAUAACCUACCUAUAAGACUGGGAUAACUUCGGGAAACCGUAGCUAAUACCGGAUAAUAUUUUGAACCGCAUGGUUCAAAAGUGAAAGACGGUCUUGCUGUCACUAAUAGAUGGAUCCGCGCUGCAUUAGCUAGUUGGUAAGGUAACGGCUUACCAAGGCAACGAUGCAUAGCCGACCUGAGAGGUUGAUCGGCCACACUGGAACUGAGACACGGUCCAGACUCCUACGGGAGGCAGCAGUAGGGAAUAUUCCGCAAUGGGCGAAAGCCUGACGGAGCAACACCGCGUGAGUGAUGAAGGUCUUCGGGUCGUAAAACUCUGUUAUUAGGGAAGAACAUAUGUGUAAGUAACUGUGCACAUCUUGACGGUACCUAAUCAGAAAGCCACGGCUAACUACGUG